rnacentral:sRNA from 1 species
AGCAGUUGCACGUUCGGCCUAGGCCGGUCGGGACGAUCCGCUCCAUCGCUUUCGCGUUACCCCUUGCUCGACAGUCGCGGUCCGCGGUGCGGCCCGUGUUCCAACCAACACUGUGUUUUUGAGGAGUAACGAGAUGUCUGAUCGUCAGACCGGUACCGUCAAGUGGUUCAACGACGCCAAGGGCUUCGGCUUCAUCACCCCUGAGAACGGCCAGGACGUGUUCGUCCACUUCCGUUCCAUCCAGGGCACCGGCUUCAAGUCGCUGCAGGAAGGCCAGCAGGUCUCCUUCAAGGUGGUGCAGGGCCAGAAGGGCCUGCAGGCGGACGAAGUCCAGCCGCUGUAAUUCCGGCUUCACCGGAUACAGGGAGAACCCGGCUCCGGCCGGGUUUUUCUUU